rnacentral:rRNA from 1 species
AUUGAACGCUGGCGGCAGGCCUAACACAUGCAAGUCGAGCGGAUGAAGGGUGCUUGCUCCUGGAUUCAGCGGCGGACGGGUGAGUAAUGCCUAGGAAUCUGCUUGGUAGUGGGGGAUAACGUCCGGAAACGGGCGCUAAUACCGCCUACGUCCUGAGGGAGAAAGAGGGGGAUCUUCGGACCUCAUGCUAUCAGAUGAGCCUAGGUCGGAUUAGCUAGUUGGUGGGGUAAGGGCCUACUAAGGCGACGAUCCGUAACUGGUCUGAGAGGAUGAUCAGUCACACUGGAACUGAGACACGGUCCAGACGCCUACGGGAGGCAGCAGUGGGGAAUAUUAGACAAUGGGCGAAAGCCUGAUCCAGCCAUGCCGCGUGUGUGAAGAAGGUCUUCGGAUUGUAAAGCACUUUAAGUUGGGAGGAAGGGCAGUAAGUUAAUACCUUGCUGUUUUGACGUUACCAACAGAAUAAGCACCGGCUAACUUCGUG